UUGGAGGGCAAGUCUGGUGCCAGCAGCCGCGGUAAUUCCAGCUCCAAUAGCGUAUAUUAAAGUUGUUGCAGUUAAAAAGCUCGUAGUUGAAUUUCGGGAUUAGUACGUUGGUCGUGCCUUCGGUACGUACUGGUGUUACUGAUUCCUACCUUCUGACGAACCAUCAUGUCAUUAAUUUGGUGUGGCGGGGAAUCAGGACUGUUACUUUGAAAAAAUUAGAGUGUUUAAAGCAGGCUCGCGCUUGAAUACAUUAGCAUGGAAUAAUGAAAUAGGACGUUGACCCUAUUUUGUUGGUUUCUAGGAUUGACGUAAUGAUUAAUAGGGAUAGUUGGGGGCAUUAGUAUUCAAUUGUCAGAGGUGAAAUUCUUGGAUUUAUUGAAGACUGACUACUGCGAAAGCAUUUGCCAAGGAUGUUUUCAUUAAUCAAGAACGAAAGUUAGGGGAUCGAAGACGAUCAGAUACCGUCGUAGUCUUAACCAUAAACUAUGCCGACUAGGGAUCGGAUGAUGUUAUUUUUAAUGACUCAUUCGGCGCCUUACGGGAAAC
rnacentral:rRNA from 1 species